rnacentral:rRNA from 1 species
AUUGAACGCUGGCGGCAUGCUUUACACAUGCAAGUCGAACGGCAGCGCGGGCUUCGGCCUGGCGGCGAGUGGCGAACGGGUGAGUAAUACAUCGGAACGUGCCCAGCUGUGGGGGAUAGCUCGGCGAAAGCCGGAUUAAUACCGCAUACGACCUGAGGGUGAAAGCGGGGGAUCUUCGGACCUCGCGCUAUUGGAGCGGCCGAUGGCAGAUUAGCUAGUUGGUGGGGUAAAGGCCUACCAAGGCGACGAUCUGUAGCUGGUCUGAGAGGACGACCAGCCACACUGGGACUGGGACACGGCCCAGGAUCCCACGGGAGGCAGCAAGGGGGAAAUUUGGACAAUGGGGGGAAGCCUGAUCCAGCAAAGCCGCGGGUGUGGUGAAGGCCUUCGGGUUGUAAAGCACUUUUGGCGGGGACGAAAAGGACUGUGCCAAUACCACGGUUGGAUGGCGGGACCCGAAGAAUAAGCACCGGCUAACUACGUGC